UCGGCUAACUCCGUGCCAGCAGCCGCGGUAAGAGGAGGAUGCAGUGUUAUCCGGAAUCACUGGGCGUAAAGCGUCUGUAGGUGGUUUAGUAAGUCUAUUGUUAAAUCUUGAGGCUCAACUUCAAAUCAGCGAUGGAAACUGCUAGACUAGAGUGUGGUAGAGGUAAGAGGAAUUUCCAGUGGAGCGGUGAAAUGCGUAGAUAUUGGAAAGAACACCGAUGGCGAAGGCAUCUUACUGGGCCAUAACUGACACUCAGAGACGAAAGCUAGGGUAGCAAAUGGGAUUAGAUACCCCAGUAGUCCUAGCAGUAAACGAUGGAUACUAGAUGUUGCCCGUAUCAACCCGUGCAGUGUCAAAGCUAACGCGUUAAGUAUCCCGCCUGGGAAGUAUGCACGCAAGUGUGAAACUCAAAGGAAUUGACGGGGGCCCGCACAAGCGGUGGAGCAUGUGGUUUAAUUUGAUGCAACGCGAAGAACCUUACCAGGGUUUGACAUGACAUGAAUUUUUCUGAGAAGAAAAAGUGCCUUUUAGGAACAUGUACACAGGUGGUGCAUGGCUGUCGUCAGCUCGUGUCGUGAGAUGUUGGGUUAAGUCCCGCAACGAGCGCAACCCUUGUUUUUAGUUAUUUUUCUAGAAAGACUGCCGGUUAUAAGCCGGAGGAAGGCGGGGACGACGUCAAGUCAGCAUGCCCCUUAUACCCUGGGCUACACACGUGCUACAUUGGGUAAGACAAUGAGUCGCGAGCCUGUGAAGGUCAGCAAAUCUAUAAACUUACUCUAAGUUCGGAUUGUAGGCUGCAACUCCNCNCC
rnacentral:rRNA from 1 species